rnacentral:rRNA from 1 species
GAUGAACGCUGGCGGCGUGCUUAACACAUGCAAGUCGAACGGAAAGGCUCCUGCUUGCAGGGGUACUCGAGUGGCGAACGGGUGAGUAACACGUGGGUGAUCUGCCCUGCACUUCGGGAUAAGCCUGGGAAACUGGGUCUAAUACCGGAUAGGACGAUGGUUUGGAUGCCAUUGUGGAAAGUUUUUUCGUUGUGGGAUGAGCUCGCGGCCUAUCAGCUUGUUGGUGGGGUAAUGGCCUACCAAGGCGUCGACGUGUAGCCGGCCUGUGAGGGUGUACGGCCACAUUGGGACUGAGAUACGGCCCAGACUCCUACGGGGGGCAGCGGUGGGGAAUAUUGCACAAGGGGCGCAAGCCUGAUGCAGCGACGCCGCGUGGGGGAUGACGGCCUUCGGGUUGUAAACUCCUUUCGCUAGGGACGAAGCGAAAGUGACGGUACCUGGAGAAGAAGCACCGGCUAACUACGUG